UGAAAUAGAUAUCGACCAACAAGGAAUUCUUCGACUCUUACAAAAACUGGAUGUAGAGAAACCCUGUGGCCCUGAUCUUAUAUCAGAUGCAUUUUUGCAAAAACAUGCAGUUUGGACGUCAAAAUACUUAUACGUAAUUUACAGGCGAUCUUUGGAAGCUUCAGUGAUACCUGACGACUGGCGAAGGGCCAAAGUAAUACCUGUGCACAAAUCUGGCUCUAAACUCGACUUUCUUCCUCUGGGCUUAAGUGGGACGCUUCUCCAUCAUUGGUGCGAAAGUGCCUCCAGAACCUUCCGGGAUUAUUAGUAAGAAAGCUCGGUAACUUUACAUUAAAAUAAUAUUCUUUUGCUCGUUUGGCUGCAAGCUUGAAUUCCGCGAUGGCAUUAGGAAGUUUCGUCACCCUGGAUUCGUCUCCUCCUUUAAUUUUUAUUGUUCUAUGCAGUCUUUUCAGACGGCGCUUUGCCUGAAUAACUUCUUGGGUUAUCCAGGGAUUAUUUUUUGGCGGCCGCUUGGUUUUAGUGGGCACGUAGUUUGUGACGCAGUAGAGGACGAUAGAUUUGUACUUAUACUCGCCUAUUAUAC